AGUGAACGCUGGCGGUAGGCCUAACACAUGCAAGUCGAACGGCAGCACAGUAAGAGCUUGCUCUUACGGGUGGCGAGUGGCGGACGGGUGAGGAAUACAUCGGAAUCUACUUUUUCGUGGGGGAUAACGUAGGGAAACUUACUCUAAUACCGCAUACGACCUACGGGUGAAAGCAGGGGAUCUUCGGACCUUGCGCGAUUGAAUGAGCCGAUGUCGGAUUAGCUAGUUGGCGGGGUAAAGGCCCACCAAGGCGACGAUCCGUAGCUGGUCUGAGAGGAGGAUCAGCCACACGGGAACUGAGACACGGUCAAGACUCCUACGGGAGGCAGCAGUGGGGAAUAUUGGACAAUGGGCGCAAGCAUGAUACAGCCAUACCGAGUGGGUGAAGAAGGCCUUCGGGUUGUAAAGCCCUUUUGUUGGGAAAGAAAAGCAGCAGGUUAAUACCCCGCUGUUCCGACGGUACCCAAAGAAUAAGCACCGGCUAACUUCGUG
rnacentral:rRNA from 1 species